AGGAGAAAACAGGGAUAAACUUCUGGGCACGCAGCACAAGCAGUGUCUUCUGGCUCUCUCCUUGUCCUCUCAUGCCCGUGGUAUCCAGAGUGUAUGUCACAGAGGACAGAGAAGUCACCUCCAUGUGCUGCAUUCCUGGCUGUGGCUUGUGCUGCUCAGAAGUGUGAUGGAGGUGGUGCCAGGCAAGGAAUGAGCAUUAUUACCUUGCCAGUCUCCAGCAGCGAGAUUGAACAGGCUGGCUGACCCAUCAUAAAGGCAGUGGCAAGGGCUGCUGCUUGCCUAGGAGGAAAUCACCUACUGAAGUCUCUCCAGAUUUACACCAAAAGGGCCCUAUUUUACUGCAGAGAGAGCAGGACAAAGCGCACCGUAACAACAGGCUGGGCUACUCACUGUGACAUCCCUGAAGUGAGCAUCCCUGCCCGCUCUGGGUGCUGGCAUUUCUCCAUUGGGUUUAUCACUGUAUCAGCUAUGUGAAUACACUUUUUUUUAUGGCAUGAGCCUUUCAGUGGAGUUUCUGAAAGACAACGAUGGGCCUUUGAAGGAUUCCUGCCUUCCUCUCUGCUGCCAGGCAGCCUGAACACAUUUCUGGAGCAGCUAAUGAAAACACUGCCCUUCAUUGCAGGGAAGGAAGGACAAGGCCCUUGAAACCUCAUUUCAGGACAUUUCGUCGUUUGGAUUACAUGUGAAAAUAAACAUCAUUUCAUACAA